rnacentral:lncRNA from 1 species
GCUACAUUUAGAUUUACAGGCUGAUUUUUCUUAGAGAAAAAAAAUCAAUAUCAAAUAGGGCUAUUCCAAGCUGAUCUUGAGUGGAUACCCAUAGAGGUUGGGUACUUGUAUGGUUAAGAGAGAGCCUCUUCUCUUUCAGAUCCAGAUUUGAAGAAAUAAAUUAUGAAAUAGGUAUGUGAUUCGAUCACAUUUUCAAUUUCAGCAUAUGUUCAAUUUCAGCAUAUGAAGUAGAUCCUUAUAGUUUGUG